ACCGUCCUUAUCUUGGGUUGCGAGCUUGUCCAAGGAUCGUCUAGUGAGGGCAAGACUGCUGACAACACAAACAAGAUUGAAAUAACGCAUCGCUCGACCGCAAGGGAAGGUAUGGAUGCAAUUUCUGGAGCC